AAGGCGCACAAGUGCUCUCACCAGGCUGCGCGCUGGCGGGUCGGUGCACAGGGACGGGGUCGCCGCCCACGCGCGCUUGGUUCAGGGAGCCCAGGCUGUCCCUACCCGCGGCUACAAAAGCUCGCCGAGUCUUCCUGUCCACCCAAUCGCCCCACAUGUCAGCGGUUGGUCGCCUCGCGGUGCAGUGCUGGGCACGCGAGCCCCUCCCGCAGUCAUUCUCAGCACAAGCACCAGCCUGGAGCCCCGCAGCGACAGAGCUGAGAGCCCCCAAGCCGCAGAGGUCGUGCGGAGCAGGUUGGUCUAAUUGAAGGCAAUGGAGAAGUAAGUCUUUAUGGAUCAAAAUCUUAGCUCUAGAAAAGGCCUAAGGCAAUAGCUAAUUGAGACUAUGCAUCACUAUUAAGGCAUCUUCACUAAAGGGCGCUGUGGAAACGCUGCCUGAGAUGCAGACACCUGUCAGAAGGGGGCUAAAUUUCAAACAAGGAACGUGGUGUUGCAUCACAAUAAAAACAGAAGAAACACACGUGUUCUUGUGUGUAAACCCAGUCCAUGGAAGAGACCGUCUGCUUGUCCCUCCUGAUCUCUGGGCCCAGACAACCAGUAGUCACCAUUCCAAGUGAGGGGUGGCUGCAACUCUACAGCCCCGUUCGUCUCUCCUCACUGUCAAAGCUGCUGAGACCCCAGACUCGACACUUGAAAGAAACCCAUGUCUGUGAAGCACUUGUGGACCAUUCAAGAUUGUGGAAGAAUCACUCAAGAGAAGGAGAUAGCAAUAUUUGCAGAUAUGCAAACUGGCCCCUUGCAUGCACAUCCUGGAGCACGUCCUGGAGCCUUUAGAGGAGACGGCUGCUGCUGUUCCAGUCUCUCCUUAGGCAGACUUGAGUUUCUACCCACUCUUCCCAAGCAGCCGCCCCUCCGCACCCGAGCGAGCCAAAGACCUGGCGGGCUGAGUACUCACUGCGCGCUGGACACAUGCUGAGCCGGCACUGCAGGGACACAGGGCGAGCCGCUGGAUGCAGACCUGUGGCCGCGGCAGUUGGGCUUAUCUUGCCCAUGAAGUUGCCUCUGAAGAACCAAGUCCAACUGUGUAUGCUGAGAGAUGUCUGGCUACUUCCUGAUUGACAGUUCUGGCAAGGUGGCAUUGGGCCCUGGCUUUUCCUCUGGAGGCAUCAUCACUUAUAGGAAAAUGUCCCCUGAAGUCCAAGGAUCAAAGCUGCUGGAACACUGAGAAGCUGAACAAAGGAGAACUGUUUCUCAUCAAACCCAGACUUCCAGACUUCCAAUAGGGUAGAAUGAGCAAGUCAGCAAAUCAUCUUCCUUGGAAACAGUGAUAAAACUAGAUGACAUUGUCAACAACAGCCAUUUCAGAAAUCUAGAAAAUGACCAAAGGCAAACAACAAACUGAGAAGCAUUUUUUUUUCCAUGAAAAAUCGCUCUAUUUCUGCAAAAAUAGUGGGAGUCUAUGGCUUCUCAUCCAGGGCUGUUUCUCUCCCCACCCCAGCUCAGUCAGUACAAAGGUUCUGGCAGCAUGAGGCAGACUGAACAGACCUGAAGUUUGAUUGCUGGAAGAAACUGACUCCAGGUUUGGCAGAGGGUGAGAAACCUACUCCCAGCCAUGUUGUCUGGUGACACAGUGACCUUAGGGACAAGUGAAUAGGGAAGGCCAGUGAUUCAUUAACCUGAGGUUGCAGUCCUGGUUGGGGAAAGCAUCAGAAUGGCAGAUAAGCUAGAAAUUUAGUAGGGAUAUGCUGGAAAUGAGACAACCCCAAAGGGGCUUGACCCCAAAGUUGUCCACACACCCCAGCUGCCUUCUGAGCAGAUGUAGGGAGAGACCAGAGAAGGCCUAGGCUAUCCACACAUCUCUGGCUAACCCAGGCUGUAAACCUGUGGAGGAGACACAAGAGGUGGAUUGAUUGCUAAUGGGCAUAUGGGGGAUCUUACUGGUUGAUAGGAACAUUCUCAAAUUGGAUUGUGGUGAUGCUUGCACAACUCUAAGUUUAUCCCAAAUUGCUAAAUUUUACACUAAAAAGGGGUGAACUUUAGGGUAUAUAAAUUAUACAUCAAUAAAGUUGUCAUAAAGCAUUCACAUUCUAAUAAAUGGCUCUAAGAAAUAUUGUUUUGAAAAUUUUCCUUUGGUAUAUUAUGGCACUCCAAAAUCAACUUCUGUCAGAACAAUAAUUAACUAUUUCUGAUUAUAGAUAUUGGUCAUCUACAAUGAUUUAUUCAGUCUUUUAUGUCCCGCAUAAGGGCUUAGAAUGCUUUAAAUUUCUAAGACCAUCAAUAGCCAGGACUCACCUGAAAACUAUAUAUAUUUUUAAAAAGACGUAUGCUCUGGGACACCAUAUGCUAACAUUUGUUGAGCACACAGUUUGCUACAGAGGUUAAGAGGUGUACUAUUUAAAUCUAACUUCCUCAAGGGGCUCACACUAUUACAAUAGUAAGCUAAAGAGAUAGAAGAAAAGUUUAUAUAUAAAAUCUCAGUACAGGGAUGGGGUUGGUAACAAAUAAGAUGCUGCCACUUACACUUGAUAAAUUAUAAAAUAUCUAUUGCAUUCAUUAUUGGAGGCUGACCCUUAUAAAAACCUUGUGGGUACUGCAAAAGACAGGGAAACCGAGGCUCAGAGUGGUUCAGCAACUUGUGUGAGGUCACAUACCUCAUGUCAAAGCUGAGAUUUAAAUGUGUGUGGCUAGGCUGGACAUGGUGGCUCACACCUGUAAUCCUAGCACCCUGGGAGGCUGAGGUGGAACACACUCCUUGUUUGUGUCCAGGAGUUCAAGACCAGCCUGGACAACAUAAUGAGACCUCAUCUCUACAAAAAAUAAAAAAUUAGCUGGGUGUGGGGCCACGCACCCCAAGGUUCUCAGGAGGCUGAGGCAGGAGGACUGCUUGAAAUCAGGAGGUUGAGCCUGCAGUGAGCUGUGAUCAUGCCACUGCACUCUGCCUGGGUGACAGAGUGAGACCCUGUCUCAAAAAAAUAAAAAUAAAAACAAAUAAAUGUGUGUGGCUGAUUCUCAUGCAAAUAUUGGUGAAGAUCUGGUAGUGAUGUAAAUUGGUAGAACCUCAGUGGGAGAUAACUUUGCAAUAGCUAUCAAAUGAAAACUGUGUAUAUUCUUUGUUUCAGGAAUUUCACUUCUAAGAUGUUUUUAAUAUAGCAGAAAUGGUUAUCCAUAAAGAAUUAGUUCAAUACAUUUUAUCUGUAAAAUGGAAUGCAAUGCGGCCAUUAAAAAGGAGGCAUAUCUG
ensembl:lncRNA IL12A-AS1 IL12A antisense RNA 1